GACGAACGCUGGCGGCGUGCCUAAUACAUGCAAGUAGGACGCAGUUGCGAACGGGUGAGUAACGCGUAGGUAACUGCCCAUUAGAGGGGGAUAACUAUUGGAAACGAUAGCUAAUACCGCAUACUAGUAGAUGGACCUGCGUUGUAUUAGGUAGUAGGUAGGGUAAUGGCCUACCUAGGGGACGAUACAUAGCCGGCCUGGGAGGGUGGUUGGCCACACUGGGAAUGGGACACGGCCCAAGCUCCUACGGGAGGGAGCAGUAAGGAAUCUUCGGGAAUUGGGGGAAACUUGGCCGAGGAACGCCGCGUGAGGGAAAAAAGUUUUCGGUUCGUAAAACUCUGUUGUUAAGGAAGCGGUACUUAACCAGAAAGGGACGGCUAACUACGUGCCAGCAGCCGCGGUAAUAC
rnacentral:rRNA from 1 species